GUUCUUGCAUUACUUCUUCAAGUUGGUUCUGCUUUGGUUGGUGUUAGCUUUGAUGGUAUCCAUCCAGUGUGUUCUUUGGCAGCCUGGUUUCCUUUA